rnacentral:rRNA from 1 species
AUGAACGCUGGCGGCACGCCUAACACAUGCAAGUCGAACGAAGUGUGAGGAAGCUUGCUUCCAAUCACUUAGUGGCGGACGGGUGAGUAACACGUGAGCAACCUGCCUCUUGGUUUGGGAUAACAGUUGGAAACGACUGCUAAUACCGCAUAAUGUGUGUAGAUGGCAUCUGAAACACAUCAAAGGAGCAAUCCGCAUUAAGAUGGGCUCGCGUCUGAUUAGAUAGUUGGUGAGGUAACGGCUCACCAAGUCGACGAUCAGUAGCCGGACUGAGAGGUUGGACGGCCACAUUGGGACUGAGACACGGCCCAGACUCCUACGGGAGGCAGCAGUGGGGAAUAUUGCACAAUGGGCGCAAGCCUGAUGCAGCGAUGCCGCGUGAGGGAAGAAGGUUUUAGGAUUGUAAACCUCUGUCUUCAGGGACGAUAAUGACGGUACCUGAGGAGGAAGCUCCGGCUAACUACGUG